rnacentral:rRNA from 1 species
GAUGAACGCUGACAGAAUGCUUAACACAUGCAAGUCGAAGGGGAAGUGGUGCUUGCUCCAUGGCAACCAUGGCGGACGGGUGAGUAACGCGUAAGGGACUAACCUGCAGGACUGGGAUAACAGAGGGAAACUCAUGACAGGUCCGGAUAAUGUCAUGGAGCUCCAUGGCUUUGGGAUGAAAGGAGACGCCUUCGGAGAGCCUUGCGUCCUCUUAGCUAGUUGGUGAGGUAAUGGCUCGAUAAGGCGAAGAUGGGUAGCCGGCCUGAGAGGGUGGACGGCCACAAGGGGACUGAGAUACGGCAGUUACUCCUACGGGAGGGUGCAGUGGGGAAUAUUGGACAAUGGGGGCAACCCUGAUCCAGGAAUUCUGUGUGCACGAAGAAGGUUUUCGGAUUGUAAAGUGCUUUCAGCAGGGAAGAAGUAAGUGACGGUACCUGCAGAAGAAGCGACGGCUAAAUACGUG